rnacentral:rRNA from 1 species
ACGGAAGGCAGCAGUAGGGAAUAUUGGACAAUGGGGGCAACCCUGAUCCAGCGACGCCGCGUGAGUGAAGAAAUAUUUCGGUAUGUAAAGCUCUAUCAGCAGGGAAGAAAAUGACGGUACCUGACUAAGAAGCACCGGCUAAAUACGUGCCAGCAGCCGCGGUAAUACGUAUGGUGCAAGCGUUAUUCGGAUUUACUGGGUGUAAAGGGAGCGUAGACGGCAUAGCAAGUCUGAAGUGAAAUGCGGGGGCUCAACCCCUGAACUGCUUUGGAAACUGUUAAGCUAGAGCGUCGGAGAGGUAAGUGGAAUUCCUAGUGUAGCGGUGAAAUGCGUAGAUAUUAGGAGGAACACCAGUGGCGAAGGCGGCUUACUGGACGAUAACUGACGUUGAGGCUCGAAAGCGUGGGGAGCAAACAGGAUUAGAUACCCUGGUA